GAUCCUGGCUUAGGAUGAACGCUAGCUACAGGCUUAACACAUGCAAGUCGAGGGGCAUCAUGAUCAAAGUUUGCUUGAUUGAUGGCGACCGGCGCACGGGUGAGUAACGCGUAUCCAACCUUCCCCCCAGUAGGGCAUAGCCCGGCGAAAGUCGGAUUAAUACCCUAUGUUUUCCAAUGAGGACAUCUGAGCUGGAACAAAGAUUUAUCGCUGGGGGAUGGGGAUGCGUCCGAUUAGGUUGUUGGCGGGGUAACGGCCCACCAAGCCCGCGAUCGGUAGGGUUCUGAGAGGAAGGUCCCCCACACUGGUACUGAGACACGGACCAGACUCCUACGGGAGGCAGCAGUGAGGAAUAUUGGUCAAUGGGCGUAAGCCUGAACCAGCCAAGUAGCCGUGCAGGACGACGGCCCUAUGGGUUGUAAACUGCUUUUAUGCGGGGAUAAAGUGAGGUAUGUAUACCUUUUUGUAGGUACCGCAUGAAUAAGGACCGGCUAAUUCCGUGCCAGCAGCCGC
rnacentral:rRNA from 1 species